AUUGAACGCUGGCGGCGUGCCUAAUACAUGCAAGUCGAACGCAGUGGGGACGGGUGUGUAACACGUGGGUAACCCCCCAUCAGAGGGGAUAACACUUGGAAACAGGUGCUAAACCGAUACUGAUGGAUGGACCCGCGGUGCAUUAGCUACUUGGUGAGGUAACGGCUCACCAAGGCCACGAUGCAUAGCCGACCUGAAAGGGUGUUCGGCCCCACCGGGAUGGUGGCACGGCCCAGACUCCUACGGGAGGCAGCAGUAGGGAAUCUUCGGCAAGGGACGAAAGUCUGACCGGGCAACGCCGCGUGAGAGAAGAAGGUUUUCGGAUCGGAAAGCUCUGUUGUUAGGGAAGCGGUAUCUAACCAGAAAGGCACGGCUAACUACGUGCCAGCAGCCGCGGUAAUUC
rnacentral:rRNA from 1 species